UUUAUGAGCAUGAAAAGUCUAAUCAGGCUUAGAUGAAUAGGAACUUAAAGAGUAUGCACAUCUAAAAUUGUAGGAAAGCUAUAGCCCAACUUCAUGCUUCCAGGCUCCAGCAACCAAGUGAAUGCCAUUAUUAUCUUAAAGAAACUCAGUAACAUAAACUGAAGGAUCAAAAGAGCUCAGACAGCUCCAAAAUAAAUUAAUAAUAUCAUCAUACACAGUAUCGCAUUGUAUCAAGAAAGAUGAUUCUACCUGUUUCCCAUUGAUGAUAUG
rnacentral:misc_RNA from 1 species